CACGUAGGGGGCAAGCGUUGUCCGGAUUUAUUGGGCGUAAAGAGCUCGUAGGUGGUUCGGUAAGUCAGGUGUGAAACCUCCAGCUCAACCUGGAGACGCCACUUGAUACUGCUGUGACUGGAGUCCGGUAGGGGAGCGUGGAAUUCCUGGUGUAGCGGUGAAAUGCGCAGAUAUCAGGAGGAACACCGAUGGCGAAGGCAGGUCUCUGGGCCACUACUGACGCUGAGAAGCGAAAGCUGGGGAGCGAACAGG
rnacentral:rRNA from 1 species